rnacentral:ncRNA from 2 species
GGCCAAAACCCAGUUCCGGGUGCCUGCAUUUGCCUGAUUGAAGCAGGUUAAACGGGAAACAGGUGCGGCUGACGAGGAUUGAGGUACUAGGAUCGAGGAUCGAGGGCUUGGAGUAGGCGGUGUCUGCUCAAUCCUCAAUCCUGAAUCCUCAAUCCUGCUCCAACUCCUGUGCUGCCCCCGCAACGGUAAGCGAGCGUGGGUUUGCCAAGGCAGUCUCUCUAACACGACGGAUCAGAACGUCCGUCUGAGAGGUGCCAGCCACUGAGCAGCAGUUUGUCGGAAUUUCGUUCCGACACCCUGCUAAGGAGUGGGUCGGACGGAAGUCCGGGCCACUCCUCUUGGGAAGGCGGCGAACUAAAUUCUCGCGAGCCCGUAUACCGGCCCGAGCUGGUGGUGUGGA